GUGUGUUCUGUUUUGUGCAUAAUAAGCCAAAGUAGCUUUGCGCAGAACUUAGAGUACAUUACUUUAAAAAUGUGCAAUGUUUUUGUACACCGCGCGCCAAAAAAAGCAGAAAAUUGCGUGCAAUUGUUUACAAAAAUAUAACGCGUGUUUCUUGAUUUCCUGUAUUCAAUCCAUCAAUGGAGCGCUUUAUGAGCUUGUAGCUACACUGUUGACAAAUCACUUCGCACCUUAUCCACAAUCCAUUCAGUGGUGGAGAAGCCUGGCCAGCACCAAGGUCACAUUGAAGAACCCAGGAGCUUUCCAGAAGCAACGUUUUGAUGGCUUUAUUGGAGGGUGCACUGGUCAGGGAGAGGCGCUUGUAAAGUACCAGUCUUUAAGAUUAGAAUCUACAAGGAGGAUGAGCAGGUGAUUGGGUCAUUCAAGGACCUUGUUGUGCAGAGCGGAUGCAACUUUUCAAUAGCUGAGAUUCUUUGCAUGGAGAGUUUUAUACUAGAUGAGCUGAACUGGGACCUGUAUGCCACGACACCAAUCGACUUCCUUUGCAUGACAUCCCCACCUUCCCACCAUGGGUCCUGAGACUCAGAAGAGGCCUUGCUUCCAGGUGGCAUUGUGGACCAGGCAGGUGCAGCACUGUAUGGCCUGCCACCAGCUGUCGCAUUUCAAAGGCUCCACACUGGCCUUGGCCAUCAUUACCUUGGAGUUGGAGAGACUCACCCCAGACUGGUUCUCCGUCUUCACCGAUCUGCUGAGGAAAACACAGAUUCAGAGCAUCCACUGCAAGGAGAUGGUUGACAAAUAACACAGUACUUCACCAGCCUGGAGUUCUCCCUGCCAGCCACAGAAGUGUACAUAUUUUAACAUGACCAAGCAGCACCAGGAUGAUGAGGGGGGCCUGCAGGGAGACUGGGACUCAGGCAGACCGGGAGACACAAGUUCUACGAUGGUUUUGGGUGCCUAUACAAUGACGUGUUGGCUCUGGAGGUCAGCGGGGUUCCCCAUGAGGCCCACCAGAAUGUGAGCCAGUAUCCUGUUGGACUGAUGAACAGGUCUGAGUGCAUGUGUGGGGGAUUGUGUUUAUAUUUUGCGAUUGAGGACAUAGAAUACUUUAUCAUGAACGUGGAACUGCCUCUUCCUUACCUAUUUAGAGCUUUUUAUAUACAAGAUUUUUUAGUUUUUACUUCCUUGUACUAAAACAUGUUUGUUCUGUUGACCUCCAAGUUAUUCAGUAACUACUUUUACAAAAUGCUUUAUUUACAAGUGACAAUGUGCUGCAAAGACGUUUUAUUAUUCAUUUAAAGGUGGUCACAUCUCAGGAGCAAUGUGAGGAAGUGUUAACACGUGCUUCUUUAUUUACCACUAGCAUUGAGCUUAGGUUUGGGAUACAGUGGAGUAUUGUAAUGCUGUCAAAUACAUUGUCAUUGAUGUUUAGGUUUUCCAAAUUGUGUGACGAUCUCUUCGGUCGUUUCUGAUAAAGCAGCAAUGUUACUCUUUUGUCCCCAGAAUGAAACUAUAACAGAGAAACAUUACAUUUCAUGAUCACACUUGUUAAUGAAAAUGAUCCAUAAGCCAUCAUCCCUUUCCACCUUAUUUUUCCAAACUGGCAAAAUAACUGAAUUCCAUGAUUAUGCAAUAUAGUCUGCCAUUUCAAUUGGUCAUGUUGGUAAAUGGAUGACAGAGCUCUGUUCUACUUUGGGUUGAGUUUUGUAAUCAUGUUUUUGAAUUUGCCCUCAGGAGAAAAUAGACUUCCUGCUCAAACCUCUUACAAUCCAGUAAAUAAAUGUCCCCCCUCCCAAAUCCAAUAAGACAUGUACAAAGCACAUCUUUCAUCCCAUCAUAAUACAACUUGUGAUUUGAAAAGGCAGUAGCUUAAAGCAAAUGACAUGGAGUUAUGCCAACAAAAGCCUUCGGAUGAAAUUGACAUUGCUCAUAAAGGCCUAACAAAUAAUAUUUUUCAAAUGAAGUGGUUAAAUGAAACCUUAAAUAGGGAAGUGCUUUGAGGUUAGCUGGGAGGAGUACGACAGGGUCAUCAGUGAGCUGUAACUGUCUGGAUGACACUGGCACAGCACGAACCUCACCCAGCAGCUGAGGGCUAACCCACUGCAGAGGUCAGCAUGUGGUGGUGUAGAGCAACAUCCUCUUUCAACCAUUGGUCAUGGCCCAUUUCCCAAAAGGAAAGGUUAAAAGCAGAGGGCUACUCCUUACUGCAUGGAUACCAUGAGCUCUCCAUUUCUAUUGGCCUAAACUUACCUACUGAACAACUUCUCAAAGGGGGUAUUGAGCAGGUAUGCAAAAAUAACAUCUGUCAUCUCUCUCAACAAUCAAAUGAAUCAUGGGAUAGGGACACAUCCAAGGCGAGGGCUUGCAUUUAUUUCCAAUAAAAAGUGAGUACAUCUUUCUUUUAGCCUUUCGAUGUAAACAUUUCUACUGCAAGUCUUGGCCUCUAUUAGACGCUGCUUUGCAUAUGGGUAGUGUAAACUGUCUUCUCACAUCAAUGGCUUAUGGUACAUCAAACAUACAGCAUUAUGUGCUUCAUCAUAUACAUUUUAAUAAAGCCAAGUAAGCUCAAAAUAUUCACAUACAUGUUUCUGGAUGAAUAUAAAACAGCACCAGUAUUUAUUGUAUAUUUUAGGACUAGUUUACUCGAUGGUACCUACAUAUACGUGUUUGCAAAAAUAUAAAUAUACAGGUAUUGUACUUAUCAGUUUUGUUAUUACUAUUCAUGACUAAGGUCUGGUCUAGUUUGGCACAGAAUUCAGACCCCACUCUAUAAGGUGUAUGGCCACUGUCUAACAUCAGAUAGAGGAACACUGGUGUAUGGCCACUGUCUAAUGUCAGAUAGAGGAACACUGGUGUAUGGCCACUGUCUAACAUCAGAUAGAGGAACACUGGUGUAUGGCCACUGUCUAACGUCAGAUAGCAGAACACUGGUGUAUGG